rnacentral:rRNA from 1 species
CCCUUAGAUGUUCUGGGCCGCACGCGUGCUACACUGAGUGGAUCAGCGGGUCAGGUUACGCGAGAGCGUUUCCUAAUCUUCAAAUCCGCUCGUGAUGGGGAUUGACGGUUGCAAUUUUCCGUCAUGAACGAGGAAUACCUUGUAAGCGCGGGUCAUCAUCCCGCGCUGAAUACGUCCCUGCCCUUUGUACACACCGCCCGUCGCCCCUACCGAUUGAGUGGUCCGGUGAGGCUUUGGGAUCUAAGCGAAAAGAGCGUUUCGCUCCUUUUGCUGGGAGAACUCAGUCGAACCUUAUCAUUUAGAGGAAGGAGAAGUCGUAACA